CCUACGGGGUGCAGCAGUAGGGAAUCUUUCACAAUGGGCGAAAGCCUGAUGGAGCAACGCCGCGUGAAGGAAGACUGCCCUACGGGUUGUAAACUUCUUUUAUAAAGGAAUAAAGUGAGGCACGUGUGCCUUUUUGUGUGUAAUCUAUGAAUAAGCAUCGGCUAACUCCGUGCCAGCAGCCGCGGUAAUACGGCGGAUCCGAGCGUUAUCCGGAUUUAUUGGGUUUAAAGGGAGCGUAGACGGGUGGUUAAGUCAGUUGUGAAAGUUUGCGGCUCAACCGUAGAAAUGCAAUUGAUACUGGCAGUCUUGAGUACAGUAGAGGUAGGCGGAAUUCGUGGUGUAGCGGUGAAAUGCUUAGAUAUCACGCAGAACUCCGAUUGCGAAGGCAGCUUACUAAACUGCCACUGACAUUGAUGCUCGAAAGUGUGGGGAUCAAACAGGAUUAGAUACCCCUGUAGUC
rnacentral:rRNA from 1 species